AACCAAUGCAAAAUAUAUAUUGCCAAUGUUAAAUUCACAGAGGUCAUUUGUAUAGUUCCCAAAUCUUUAACCUACAGGAUCAAGAAGUUAACACUGUACAAAGAACUAGGACUAGAACACUCACAUUUUUGUCCCUAUUUGUUAGUGAUCUUUUGUCUUAGGACAAACUAUAUCAAAGCUUUCAUAAGGAGAGGCUGCGUCUGGCUCCCACUCUCACAGCCAUUGCAGUACUUUGAGCUCCAUAGAGACAGUGCCUGGGCAAGUGAGAGUCAGAUGGGCACUGAGCGACUCUGUGCCUCGCUGAGGAAAAGUAAUUAAACAUGGGCAAGGGAGAUCCUAAGAAGCUGAGAGGCAAAAUGUCAUCAUAUGCAUUUUUUGUGCAAACUUGCCGAGAGGAGCACAAGAAGAAGCACCCAGAUGCUUCAGUCAGCUUCUCAGAGUUUUCUAAGAAGUGCUCAGAGAGGUGGAAGACCAUGUCUACUAAAGAAAAAGGAAAGUUUGAAGACAUGGCAAAGGCAGAUAAGGCCUGUUAUGAAAGAGAAAUGAAAACUUAUAUCCCCCCUAAAAGGUAAACAAAAAAGAAGUUCAAGGAUCCCAAUGCACCCAAGAGGCCUCCUUCGGCCUUUUUCUUAUUUUGUUCCGGUAUCACCCAAAAAUCAAAGAAGAACAUCCUGGUCUAUCCAUUGGUGAUGUUGCAAAGAAGCUGGGAGAGAUGUGGAAUAACACUACUGCAGAUGACAAGCAGCCUUAGGAAAAGAAGGCUGAUAAACUGAAGGAAAAAUACGAAAAGGAUAUUACUGCAUACCGAGCUAAAGGAAAGCCUGAUGCGGCCAAAAAAGGGGUUGUCAAGGCAGAAAAGAGCAAGAAAAAGAAGGAAGAGAAGGAAGAUGAGGAAGAUGAAGAGGAUGAGGAAGAGGAGGAAGAUGAAGAAGAGGAUGAUGAUGAUGAAUAAGUUGGUUCUAGCGCAGUUUUUUUUUUUCUUGUCUAUAAAGCAUUUAACCCCCCUGUACACAACUCACUCCUUUUAAAGAAAAAAAAUUGAAAUGUAAGGUUGUGUAAGAUUUGUUUAUAAACUUUACAGUGUCUUUUUUUGUAUAGUUAACACACUACCGAAUGUGUCUUUAGAUAGCCCUGUCCUGGUGGUAUUUUCAAUAGCCACUAACCUUGCCUGGUACAGUAUGGGGGUUGUAAAUUGGCAUGGAAAUUUAAAGCAGGUUCUUGUUGGUGCACAGCACAAAUUAGUUAUAUAUGGGGAUGGUAGUUUUUCAUCUUCAGUUGUCUAUGAUGCAGCUUAUACGAAAUAAUUGUUGUUUUGUUAACUGAAAACCACUCUGUAAUUGCAAAAAAAAAAAAAGUUGCAGCUGUUUUCUUGACAUUCUGAAUGCUUCUAAGUAAAUACAUUUUUUUUAUUAGUACUGUUGUCCUUUUCAUAGGUCUGAAAUUUUUCUUCUCAAGGGAGGCUAGUCUUUUGCUUUUUUUUUUUGCCCAUUUGGAUCACAUGAGUUAUUACUGAUGUUUAUCUUUUCAUAUAGUUAGCUGAUAAAAUAAACUUUUUUCUACACACCCUGCAUAUUCGUGUUGAGGGUAAUAAAAGUUGAAUUGAGACUAUUUUCACCCAUCAAAAUCUUGAUGAGUUGAUGUCAAAUUUCAUAUGGCCC